ACACACACACACACACACACACACACACACACACCUUUUUUUCUAGUAGGUUUUCAAGUUUUAGAAUUAUACAGUGACAGUGAAGAAUGUUAAAGCAGCCUUUUUCUUGAAUUUCUUCUAAUGUUGUGUUAAAGAGACCACAGGGAUAUA